GACGAACGCUGGCGGCGUGCUUAACACAUGCAAGUCGAACGGAAAGGCCCAGCUUGCUGGGUACUCGAGUGGCGAACGGGUGAGUAACACGUGGGUGAUCUGCCCUGCACUCUGGGAUAAGCCUGGGAAACUGGGUCUAAUACCGGAUAUGAUCAACUGUCGCAUGGUGGUUGGUGGAAAGCUUUUGCGGUGUGGGAUGGGCCCGCGGCCUAUCAGCUUGUUGGUGGGGUAAUGGCCUACCAAGGCGACGACGGGUAGCCGACCUGAGAGGGUGAUCGGCCACACUGGGACUGAGACACGGCCCAGACUCCUACGGGAGGCAGCAGUGGGGAAUAUUGCACAAUGGGCGCAAGCCUGAUGCAGCGACGCCGCGUGAGGGAUGACGGCCUUCGGGUUGUAAACCUCUUUCACCAGGGACGAAGCGUGAGUGACGGUACCUGGAGAAGAAGCACCGGCCAACUACGUGCCAGCCGCCGCCGUAA
rnacentral:rRNA from 1 species